GAUGAACGCUGGCGGCGUGCCUAACACAUGCAAGUCGAACGGAGAUUACGGACGGAAGUUUUCGGAUGGAAGACUGUAAUUCUUAGUGGCGGACGGGUGAGUAACGCGUGGGCAACCUGCCCUAUACAGGGGGAUAGCAGCUGGAAACGGCUGGUAAGACCGCAUAAGUCGGCGAGACCGCAUGGUUUUGCCGGGAAAUGAGCAAUCAGGUAUAGGAUGGGCCCGCGUUCGAUUAGCCAGUUGGCAGGGUAAAAGCCUACCAAAGCAACGAUCGGUAGCCGGACUGAGAGGUAGGACGGCCACAUUGGGACUGAGACACGGCCCAAACUCCUACGGGAGGCAGAAGUUGGGGAUAAUGAACAAUGGAGGAAACUCUGAUGCAGCGACGCCGCGUGAGUGAAGAAGUAUUUCGGUAUGUAAAGCUCUAUCAGCAGGGAAGAUGAUGACGGUACCUGACUAAGAAGCCCCGGCUAACUACGUG
rnacentral:rRNA from 1 species